rnacentral:rRNA from 1 species
AUUGAACGCUGGCGGCAUGCUUUACACAUGCAAGUCGAACGGUAACAGGCCUUCGGGUGCUGACGAGUGGCGAACGGGUGAGUAAUGCAUCGGAACGUACCCAGAGGUGGGGGAUAACGCAGCGAAAGCUGUGCUAAUACCGCAUGUGAUCUGAGGAUGAAAGCGGGGGACCGAGCAGCAAUGUUUGGCCUCGCGCCUUUGGAGCGGCCGAUGUCGGAUUAGCUAGUUGGUGGGGUAAAGGCCUACCAAGGCGACGAUCCGUAGCUGGUCUGAGAGGACGACCAGCCACACUGGGACUGAGACACGGCCCAGACUCCUACGGGAGGCAGCAGUGGGGAAUUUUGGGCAAUGGGCGAAAGCCUGAUCCAGCAAUGCCGCGUGCGGGAAGAAGGCCUUCGGGUUGUAAACCGCUUUUGGCAGGAACGAAACGGUGUCCGCUAAUACCGGGCGCUAAUGACGGUACCUGCAGAAUAAGCACCGGCUAACUACGUG